rnacentral:rRNA from 1 species
UUGAGUACUUGUACGAGACUUAGCUUAGCGGCGGACGGGUGAGUAACGCGUGAGCGACCUGGCCUAUACAGGGGGAUAACAGAGAGAAAUUUCUGCUAAUACCGCAUAAGACCACAGUACUGCAUGGUACAGGGGUCAAAGGAGAGAUUCGGUAUAGGAUGGGCUCGCGUCCCAUUAGCUAGUUGGAGGUGUAACGGACCACCAAGGCGACGAUGGGUAGCCGACCUGAGAGGGUGACCGGCCACACUGGGACUGAGACACGGCCCAGACUCC